AACGAACGCUGGCGGCAUGCCUAACACAUGCAAGUCGAACGAGACCUUCGGGUCUAGUGGCGCACGGGUGCGUAACGCGUGGGAACCUGCCCUUAGGUUCGGAAUAACUCCCCGAAAGGGGUGCUAAUACCGGAUAAUGUCUUCGGACCAAAGAUUUAUCGCCUUUGGAUGGGCCCGCGUUGGAUUAGCUAGUUGGUAGGGUAAAAGCCUACCAAGGCGACGAUCCAUAGCUGGUCUGAGAGGAUGAUCAGCCACACUGGGACUGAGACACGGCCCAGACUCCUACGGGAGGCAGCAGUGGGGAAUAUUCGACAAUGGGCGAAAGCCUGAUCCAGCAAUGCCGCGUGAGUGAUGAAGGCCUUAGGGUUGUAAAGCUCUUUUACCCGGGAUGAUAAUGACAGUACCGGGAGAAUAAGCCCCGGCUAACUCCGU
rnacentral:rRNA from 1 species